rnacentral:rRNA from 1 species
GACGAACGCUGGCGGCGUGCUUAACACAUGCAAGUCGAACGGAAAGGCCCUGCUUUUGUGGGGUGCUCGAGUGGCGAACGGGUGAGUAACACGUGAGUAACCUGCCCUUGACUUUGGGAUAACUUCAGGAAACUGGGGCUAAUACCGGAUAGGAGCUCCUGCUGCAUGGUGGGGGUUGGAAAGUUUCGGCGGUUGGGGAUGGACUCGCGGCUUAUCAGCUUGUUGGUGGGGUAGUGGCUUACCAAGGCUUUGACGGGUAGCCGGCCUGAGAGGUGGACCGGCCACAUGGGGACUGAGAUACGGCCCAGACGCCUACGGGAGGCAGCAGGGGGAAAUAUUGCACAAUGGGCGGAAGCCUGAUGCAGCAACGCCGCGUGCGGGAUGACGGCCUUCGGGUUGUAAACCGCUUUCGCCUGUGACGAAGCGUGAGUGACGGUAAUGGGUAAAGAAGCACCGGCUAACUACGUG